UGUCUCCUCCACCCUCCUCCUUUGGUGUGGAUUGAACGCCGCCUCUUCGAGGCGGCGUUUUUUUU
rnacentral:ncRNA from 1 species